rnacentral:rRNA from 1 species
UAGGGAAGUCUUCCACAAUGGACGAAAGUCUGAUGGAGCAACGCCGCGUGAGUGAAGAAGGGUUUCGGCUCGUAAAACUCUGUUGUUAAAGAAGAACAUAUCUGAGAGUAACUGUUCAGGUAUUGACGGUAUUUAACCAGAAAGCCACGGCUAACUACGUGCCAG